rnacentral:rRNA from 1 species
UACGGGGGGAGCAAGCGUUGUUCGGAUUUACUGGGCGUAAAGGGCGCGUAGGCGGCCACCGCAAGUCGACUGUGAAAUCUCCGGGCUUAACCCGGAAAGGUCAGCCGAUACUGCGGGGCUAGAGUGCAGAAGGGGCAACUGGAAUUCUCGGUGUAGCGGUGAAAUGCGUAGAUAUCGAGAGGAACACCUGCGGCGAAGGCGGGUUGCUGGGCUGACACUGACGCUGAAACGCGAAAGCUAGGGGAGCGAACGGGG